ensembl:lncRNA
UGGAGAGGGAGGGGUAGAGGGAAAGAUCUGCCUUGGCUGUCUCCUGUCUACGAGGCUGGAGAGACCACUGCAGAAGGUUGUAGUCUUCUGUCAGAGCUGCAGGAUGGUUCUGAUGUUGUGGCACGGCAGGGAAAGUCCAGGACAGACAACGGCACCACACAUUACCUUCAUGACCUGACUUCAUAGGGGAAAGGUCAGCUGAGGAGGGGAAACAAACCUCUAGAAACAGGGUUAAGUCUGUUAAUGUCAUGCAAUGUGAUGUUGUCUAUUGCCAUGUCAUUUCAUGUUCUACAAUUUUAUAUUGCUCAGGUCCUAAUGCUUUUUACGAAUGAGACACCUUCAGUUCAAAUGUAUAAUAUAUGUUUACUAGUGAGGCGCAAGAAAGCUGCAUAAGAUGAAGAUUAUAUGUUGUUUCAAAGGGAACUUCACCAUAUGCAGUGAUACAUCCUAAUCAGAGAUCUAGUAUUUAUCAAUAUGCAGUGAUACAUCCUAAUCAGAGAUCUAGCAUUUAUCCAUAUGCAGUGGUACAUCCUAAUCAGAGAUCUACUAUUUAUCCAUAUGCAGUGAUACAUCCUAAUCAGAGAUCUAGUAUUUAUCCAUAUGCAGUGGUACAUCCUAAUCAGAGAUCUACUAUUUAUCCAUAUGCAGUGAUACAUCCUAAUCAGAGAUCUAGUAUUUAUCAAUAUGCAGUGAUACAUCCUAAUCAGAGAUCUAGUAUUUAUCCAUAUGCAGUGAUACAUCCUAAUCAGAGAUCUAGUAUGUAUCCAUAUGCAGUGAUACAUCCUAAUCAGAGAUCUAGUAUGUAUCCAUAUGCAGUGAUACAUCCUAAUCAGAGAUCAAGUAUUUAUCAAUAUGGAAUGAUACAUCCUAAUCAGAGAUCUAGUAUGUAUCCAUAUGCAGUGAUACAUCCUAAUCAGAGAUCUAGUAUUUAUCCACAUUUAACAUCGAAAUUCCUCCUUUUACUGCGUGUGUUCAGCACCAUUUACACAAGUCCAAGAAUGAAUGCAAUGUCAUGCCACUUCCUCCCUUCUCCUUAGUCACUUAAAUAUUGAUGGUCCCAGAGCAUGCUAUAGGUGUCAUGGAGGAUUGUAGAUCGUAGAGGACUCUGCUGAUGUCAAAGGAGGCAAUGGAUCUGUCCUUAAUGGUUUCCUAUUCCCUUAAUAAUGAACUAGCCCAGAAGACUCUGUUCAAAAGUUGUGCACUUACAGGGGGAAUAGUGUGCAGUUUCAAAUGUUGAUGAAUUGAUAAUUUUACAUGGUGGCCUUGAGCAACUCUAUAAACCCCAUUUGCUCCUAAAUGUUGCUCUGAAUAAGUCUAUUCAAUUAUUAUAAUGUAAUGUCUAAUGUACACAUAAAAUAGAGCAAUAACUUUUGGCUGCUACUGUGACUAAUAGAUGCUCUGAUCUAUAUAAUGGCCAUGAUCUAUAGAUGCUCUUUAAAGAACAGCCAUGGCCUAUAGAUGCUCUCCUCUAAAUAACGGCCAUAAAUUAUAGUUGCUGUCCUCUUUAUAACGGCCAUGACCAAUUGAAACUCUACUCCCUAUAUAAAGACAAUAAACAAUAAAAGCUCUCUUUAUAAUGGCCAUGACCAAUAGAAGCUCUCUUCUAUAUAACCGCCAUGACCAAUAGAAGCUCCCCUCUAUAUAAUGGCCAUGACCAAUAGAAGCUGUCAUCUAUAUAACGGCGAUGACCAAUAGAAGCUGUACUCCCUAGAUAAUGUCAAUAACCAACAGAAUAUCUCUAUAUAACAGGCAUGACCAAUAGAACCUCUCUGUAUAACAAAAAUAAUAAAGUAGAUGCUCUCUAUUAUAUAACAAUAAGCAAUAAUACAUGUUGAAAACAUGCAUGACAAAAGUGGCGUUGAUGGAUUCAUCAGAUAGCAUACAUUGUCCUGUUAUUGUCCAUUUCUUUGUAUAAUACUGUUUAGUAGUGCCUUACAUUCUCCACAUUUCAUAUCAGCAGAUAUUGAACCCACACAUGAAGGUAUUAGACAUACAAUAUACAUGAAGAUAUUUCAAGUGUAAAUAAUUUAAGCUGAUGCUGUCACUUUGUGGAUGAUGUCCAGUUUGAAAUGCACUGAAUGUUCUGAAUAGAAACAGUCUUCCUUGUGUAUUUAAGUAUGAAAGCAGCCUUUUUUUGUCAACAAUCAUAACAUGUAAAUGUCCUCUCCGAAUAACCAAACACAUUUGGUAUCAUGUGACAAUCAUUUGAAAAACUGAAGAUGCACAGGAAUCCUCUGAUGAAUCCAAUCAUAACAGUUUUUUGAAUUUGUUACAAGUGAAAUUUGCAUGUUUUUUAAGCUAAAAUCACUAAAUAAUGUCCUGCUCUUGUACUUUCAACUAAGUGAACAAGCCACAUCUGUGUCCAGAGGCCUCAUAUUGAACAACCUCACUAGCAGUCAACAACAUUGCUAUAUGCUGAUGUGUGCUGCAUUCAAACACUCCGUCCCCUGGUUCUACACAGACCCGUGAUCCCGUCUCCAUGCUACAUGUCUGUCUGUCUGUCUGAAUAAGCUUUAUUUGAGUACAUUUCCACAUACUCAUUAAUCUUUACAUGGUGGAUCGGUGCUGCCAGGUGUAGAAAACAUUUAGAAUUAGAAUACAUACCAUAUACAGAAUGUUUACAUACAUUUGAACAUGUAUGGAAACAUCUUGUCUGCCUGCCUUCCUGCUUGUCUGUCUACCUUUCUGUCUGUCUUUCUGCCUGUCUGAUGAAACCUCCCUCUCUUUCCUGUCUUCUAACUUAACAUGACCUCACAUAUUGAGUUCUGUUAACUAACUAGAGUAACUGUGCCAGUUUAAUGUAUGUAUGUACGUGUGUGUGUGUGUGUGUGUAUGUAUGACAGCUGUGAAAUUAACAUAAACUGAACAAAGGUGUUGUUUGGGUUGUUUGUUGUUUAAAAUAAAAUAUUAUAUGGUAAUGUUUAUAUGUAUGGCUUGGAAAAACAUACAUAUAUGCGCAAUAAAGUCAUGUUGAAUACUUGUCGUGACUAAGUUUAUUGUGGCCUUUUUUCUCAUUGUCUUCUCUGUACUGAGACGUUACUGUAAAUUAUUUUAUUAUACAAAGAUAUGAUGUAUAUGAAUAAUGUUAAGUGAAGCUUUACAUUUCUACCACCUUUGCUUAAUAAAGAAAUCAAUUGUG